rnacentral:rRNA from 1 species
UACGGAGGGAGCUAGCGUUGUUCGGAAUUACUGGGCGUAAAGCGCACGUAGGCGGCUUUGUAAGUUAGAGGUGAAAGCCCGGGGCUCAACCCCGGAAUUGCCUUUAAGACUGCAUCGCUUGAAUCCGGGAGAGGUGAGUGGAAUUCCGAGUGUAGAGGUGAAAUUCGUAGAUAUUCGGAAGAACACCAGUGGCGAAGGCGGCUCACUGGACCGGUAUUGACGCUGAGGUGCGAAAGCGUGGGAAGCAAACAGG